GAUGAACGCUGGCGGCGUGCCUAAUACAUGCAAGUCGAGCGAACGGACGAGAAGCUUGCUUUUCUGAUGUUAGCGGCGGACGGGUGAGUAACACGUGGAUAACCUACCUAUAAGACUGGGAUAACUUCGGGAAACCGGAGCUAAUACCGGAUAAUAUUUUGAACCGCAUGGUUCAAAAGUGAAAGACGGUCUUGCUGUCACUUAUAGCUGGAUCCGCGCUGCAUUAGCUAGUUGGUAAGGUAACGGCUUACCAAGGCAACGAUGCAUAGCCGACCUGAGAGGAUGAUCGGCCACACUGGAACUGAGACACGGUCCAGACUCCUACGGGAGGCAGCAGUAGGGAAUAUUGCGCAAUGGGCGAAAGCCUGACGGAGCAACGCCGCGUGAGUGAUGAAGGUCUUCGGAUCGUAAAACUCUGUUAUUAGGGAAGAAAAUAUGUAUAAGUAAAUGUGCACAUCUUGACGGUACCUAAUCAGAAAGCCACGGCUAACUACGUG
rnacentral:rRNA from 1 species